UGUUCCUACGGGACGCAGCAGCGGGGAAUAUUGCACAAUGGGGGAAACCCUGAUGCAGCGACGCCGCGUGAGUGAAGAAGUAUUUCGGUAUGUAAAGCUCUAUCAGCAGGGAAGAAAUACUGACCUUACGGUCAGCAGACGGUACCUGACUAAGAAGCCCCGGCUAACUACGUGCCAGCAGCCGCGGUAAUACGUAUGGUGCAAGCGUUAUCCGGAAUGACUGGGUGUAAAGGGAGCGUAGACGGUUGUACAAGUCUGAUGUGAAAGCCCACGGCUCAACUGUGGGAGUGCAUUGGAAACUGUAG
rnacentral:rRNA from 1 species